GGACACAUUCCCUUUCUUCAUUUGCAGCUUCCUUGUGGGGAUUGCUGGAUUCAGCAGGUUCAUAUGAAAGACACUUCUUUGCUUUAACGGAUUCCCCGCAUGAGGCACCAGCUGUAGUAGAAUUAAGGCGCACUGUAGUCGAAUCUGUUAAAAUAAGAUGGCCAGCUAAGCUGAUGACUAAGGUUUGCAUAAUUAACUGAGCCUGGUACUAGAUGACUGAUUGACUUACAUUGAAUAAUUGGCUCCAUGAAAGUAUCCGGCAGAGAACGAAAUAUUGGGUCCCUCCAAAUCUGAUGGCGAGUGUGAGGAGCCUUCCUUCUUUUGCAGACUAGAUCCUCUAAACCAACACCAUCUACCAUUUCUCUCAUCGUGCUGUAGGGGGGAUGUUCCAAAAACAGUAACAAUGUUAUAGUAUGAAUGGACCAUGUAUAUCGAAAUUCAAUGCUCCAUCAACAUACUGCAGAAUCACCUUAAAGAAAGCAUGUGAAUGUGGCAAUAAUAUAAUUUGCAUGGACCAUGCAUAUCCUAUUUAAAGUUCCAUUUUACAGCUAAGGAAUCACCUUAAAGAAGCAUGUCAAUGCAAAUCAGGCCCUCCCAAUUCUCAAACAAAAAGAGGAAACACCUUAAAGAAACAUGUCAAUGCAGAUCAGACCACUCCCAGUUCUCAAGCUAAAAUAAAACGGUUUGCAACAUAUGGAAGAGCUUGUGCAAGCUAGUUAUUUUACCAACACAUUUGCACCAUACAAACUUCUUAAGCCAAUAGAGAAGUUCAAACUGGCUGCUAGGAUGCAUACAAGCACACAGGAAUAGGCAGUGGAACAGAUGAAAGGGCUUGUACAAGUAAGUUACUGUACUUACUCAUUAUCAAGGAGGACCUUAUCAUCCCACACUACCCAAACUCUUCUCUUAUUGUGCUCGUAUGCAUCCUGGAACCCCUUCCUCCUUUUUCUGGUAACCUGGCGCUUCUCAUUUUGAGCAGGUGUUGCAACCAUAAAUUUUUCUAGUAACCCUAGAUAAAAGUGAAUUGAGAUAAAUAUGUCACAAACAUGAGCAAGAUAAUAACAAUAAGUAGAAUAGGAACUUCUCACAAAAGUUAACCUGAGACUCCCUCUCGCAAGGGCUCUGGAGUCAAUGGUUCCAGUGACUCUUGUUCCUCGAUGUCAGGAAUUUCUACAGAUGUUGUUGUGUUCGGUUUUCCUACAGCUAACCCAGUUUCUGAUUGUUCGACCACAGGAUGAUUAUCAUCAAGAUCUGCACACACCACAUUCUCCACAGCAUUCACAGCAGGUCCUUGCAUUUCUUGACUUCUGCAUCAAUGCAUGCUUAAUAAUGUCAAAAUAAAAGGAUAAUUUCCAGAAUAAUCUUAAAGUAAACAAAGUUCGAUGUAACCAAAAAAAGGGAGUAGCAAUACUCACUCUCGCAAAGGGGUGGAACAAGCAGGAUCGCCAUUCUCUUCACCAUUCACUUCUCUUCUAGCUUUCUUCACCUCUUCGCUUUUCUCUGGAAGGCCACUUACUUCAGCCAUCAUAUCCAUCGCCUCAGGUGGAAGAACACUGUUUCAUAGUCUCAUUUUAGCAAACAUAAAGAGGAAAAAGUCUGCUCUUAUGAAUGAGUCGGGAGAGGGAGUGAUGGUUCAUAUACUUACUCCUUCACUGGUGUAAAGCAAGCAGGACCAGCAUUCUGAUUGGUAUUUUCAAGUUCAUCGUCCAUGUGACUUGAGUACAGAAGAUCGGUGACUUCAUCAUUGACACUGAUCAUUUCAGUUGGGAUCCUGCAUCAAAAGAUCAGCUCAGAAAUCCACUGGAAGUAAUCUUUUAACACCAUUAGGUACUGUAACCUAUGUACUUACAUGCAUACUGGCACAACGUAAGCAGAGUCCAGAUCAGCAUAUGGCAUCAUCGGAUAAGACUGUUCCAUUGGAUAGAUCUUAAGUUAUAGUUUGUCAAAACAAAUAAGGCAUGAAAACAAGAGGAAGCUGACAGUAAUGCAUGUCACCUAUUGCUAAUGCAAAGGAACAAACGUAUCUAAGGUAACACACAUGGGUGGAAUAAUUUAGAAACCACACAGACAAGACGGAUACUCCCUCCGUCCCAAAAUAAGUGUCUCAACCUUAAUACAACUUUAGUAGUACAAAGUUGAGACACUUAUUUUGGGAUGGAGGGAGUAUUUAACAGUUAACACCUUAAUCAGAAAAUUCAUGAAACUACUGACACAGGACCAUGGGUGGAAUACAUGGAACCUGAUAAGGCAACACGUGGAACACACAUGGGUGGAAUAAUUUACAAACCUACUGUGGUAGAACAGGAUCAAUCAGUGGAAGGUAGAGGUCCCUUAAACUGCUGCCUUAUACAUGCAAGCUUAGUAAUUCUGUGUACCUAGGAAGUAUCGCAUUUAUAGAUCACAUUAGGUGGUAGGCGCUUGCAGUAGGUGCCAAGUGUGACUUAUCUGGAUUACAUAGCAUAUUUUUGGCAAGCUCCCCCAUUUCUUUGUUUCAGAUGUUAUAAGAAGCAUUUCACUCUAUGCGCAUACAUGUGUUGAUUACUCAGUGAAUGGUAGGAAGGAAGCUGGGUACCUCGUACAAAUUUGGCAUAUGAUGAUGUUCAUCUUCCAACAAAGUUUCUGUGCAAAACAAUGAAGGUCAUAAAUGAAACGAUUUCUUAGCAAUAAUAGUGGCAUCAAAUUGCAGCAUUUGGUACCUUGACGUGGCAAUUGGUGAUGAUCAUCAUUGUCAUCCUCUCUGCAGAGGAAUUUAGAAGGAACAAGUGAGACACCACAUUUCAAGCGACAAAGAAAUGGAACUAGUUUACGACCAUGUGUGUUCAUUACCUGUCUUCAGCGAUCUGCAAAUCAAAACAGUCAAGCUCGAAUCUUUUGGGUAUGGUGAAGAUUGGUGGAAGAUCAGCUAGUUCAUCCACUUCUGGGACUUGAACUACCGCAACUCUUUUCGCUCUUCUAGUGUCUUCUUGGUCUAGCACCAACCUUUUUGCACAAACGCCUUUCUUCCCUCGCUUUAGAACUUUCUUCGCUCUUACAGUUGAUUCAAAAAAUUGAUUGCUGUCAUAGCAGAGGUAGUCCACCUUCUUGGAGUGAAUCCUAACAAUGCCAAGCAUAAGCAGCCCAAGUAUUCUGUAUGUGGUUUCAACAUCGGGCAAAAUCUUGUCUGCCAUGAUAGGAGGAGACGUGUGAGCAAGUCGCCGCAAUACUAUCAGGAAAAAUACCUGGAGGGCUAUGUCUACCAAUAGAGAGACGCAAUAUUCAACGAUAUCCAAACAGUUCCCCAGUGAAUUCAAUAUCAUUAUGUAGUUUUUGUCGACAGUGAAGUUGGUUCACAUGGUACAUUCAGUUGGUACCCGAACCUGAAACUCAGCUCAGGUUUACGCUUGGAUAACGUCGAUAAAAAAAUAAAACCAUAUGUGAAAAGCUCUCAGGCCAAGAGUCGUGAACCCCCAAACCGUCCACAAAGUGGCCAAAAGAAAAAACAUAAAAACUCUCCACUGGCCAAAACAGCCCACAGUUCAGAAUUCAGAUUCAAACUUUUUAUCAACAGCCUAUUAUUCAUCUUCUAAUCUUUUUAAAAAAACUGAGCCGUUCCCACGAAGGAAAUUUGAAACGAAAUUUGCAAACAGUGACGCUUGCACUGCACAAGAACAUAAAAAAAAAAGAUAAAUGCGCACAUCGAUGCUUCCUAAAAUCGACAAGAAAAAUUUGGAUCACCACUCCACCAACCACAGCAUGGUGAAGAGGAACGGAAACCACAAGGGAAACGGAGUGGUUCUCUCUUGGUCUUGUUUUUCGGGUGAAGAACCAAGGAUUCCACUCCCAUUUUUCACUGACACUCAAGAUAUAAACCCCCACAUAAACCCUCCCAAUCUACUGCUCCACUCACCCCACAAAUGAGAGACACGUACGGCCGUAUUUUCCUCUAAGUUCUUAACCAAGCCAGGAAAGAACACGAGACCGGCACAAAAGAAGAUUCUUUUCCCCCCAUAAAUUGGAGAGAUUCCCUCCUCGCCCAGGCCCCAACCGAACCCAAAAAGCCCUCAAAACCCCACGAAGAAAAGAGAGAGCUCGGUCGCAUUGCAGGAAGCGGGUUAGGGGGGGGCGGCAAAUCAGGCGCGGCAUCGCUUACCGACGGAGGAGGCGACGUCGGUGCGCAGGACCUGGUCCCUGGUGAGCGCCGCCACGCCGCAGACGCCCGCCACCCACACCGCCCCCAGCGGGCCCUUCCUGGACAGCAUCUUCUUGGAGUAGAACAUCCCGCCGGCCGCCGGGCACGAGCAGACCACCGAGGACAGGCGGGCAGGCAGGCAGCCCUAAAUCGCACUGCGAAAGCAAGCCAAACCGAAUUCCGCAAUGAGGCGAGCCGAAUCGAACCUAGAAAAGGGGGAGAAGAGCCGCGCGGCGGCGGAAUCAGAGAGCGGGUGGGGAAGGCAAGGGCAAGAACUGACCCGAAGCGGCGCCGCCAAUGCCCUCCCUCGCGGCCGCGUGCGGCGACGUGGCGGUCCUCGUGCGNGGAGGCUGACUUCGAGUGGAAGGAGGAAACCCCAGGCGCAGGGGGACUGAGACGGGGCGAAAGGACGGGAGCGCCCUUUGGCUUUGAGACGUUGGUGGGUGUGAGGAAGGAUUGGAUGGGUUCUUGCGUUUCGGUAAGUUGCCUAUUUUCUUGGCCCUUUUGAAUUUCGCGUUUAAUCAUUUGCCGUCUUGUAUCGGGGCAUGGGAAAACGGAACGGUUUAAUGCCUCGUUGAUGUUUUUCUCCAACGUUAAAGUUUUUGGAUUUUGUACUGCGGCAGAGAGCUGUAGCCGUUGUGGCCUGUGCGGUGUAAAAUAAAUGGAUUUAUGUGUGCGGUUUAUGGAAACACGGUAAUCGACGGGAUUAUAUAGGCCGUUGCGCUCCCUCAGCCAAUUUUAAUUUGUUUACGUUUAUUUAUUAGUGGAUACAAGGAAUGCUUGUUUAUAUUUUACUAAGAAAAUAUAAAAGCUUGUUGCGCCUUUAAUCAGGUUUUUUUUUACCCUCACAAAAAAAUAUAAGCAUUUUGUUAAACAUGUACAGAAACUAGCAUAGUGCCUUUGCUACAGAGGCAACAAAAAAUAACUUGCUCAUAUGUUACCAUAUGAAUAAUAGAAAGUGAACAUAAUUUUUGAAAUUCGUUUAAUUGUUUUGUACUAUUAAUCAUCAGUUGUGUGCAAUGCCAACCUAGGCUAUGACAUAAUUACUCAAUGCAAUAAUAUAGACAAAAUGAUAAUAUCAAUUGAGGCUUGUUGAGCUCAGUUCCUGAUUUCGUGUGCUUGCCUAAAUAAAUGUCCAAAUGCUCUUAUGAUGAUUCGCCAUGCUAGUUGCUCAAUGUCCGUAGGUUUCUGCUCGUUCUAACAUUGCAACACAUGCUCGAUUCUACCAGUAAUACAAGUAGUAAAUGUCACAGCUACGUAAUUGACCUCAUAAACCCGCUUCAUAUGACACAUAACUUGACUUUUUUGCAUGGAAUUUGUCGAAGUUUUUGACAUAACAUAGCGAUGCGAAACAUCUUUGGUUUAUCACGUUCACGCACCACUAUUAGAGAUUUACAAAAGAUCCAAUGUCAAUUAUUAUGGUCUACUAAUUUAGUACAAUACAAGGACUUUUUCCGCUAAUAUAUUUUUUUUCAUAGUGUUUUUUAGAAAGACGUGUGCAUAUAAUUAUUACGUACAAUCAGAUGCUACUUGAAUAACUUGAAUGUGUAAAAUGCCAAGCUAGCCACCUAAGGGAAAUCAGUGGCGUAAGCUCUAGGGCGCCGGUGGUCGUAGGUCCGAGUGGCCAGCGGUGCCCGCUCACGGCCGAUGUUCAAGAGGGCGGCUGCGACCAUGUGGAAUGGUGCACGAGCAUGGCCGGAGGCCAAGCUGCUCGCUCCACGCAGAAGCUGGGCUCCAACAGCAAGAAAUGGGCUUCCUAGCUUGAUGUUGGACGGUUUCAUUAGUUUAUUUAUCAAGGCAUUGAACAAUACGUAUGUCUAUGAACAAUGUCACUAUUAUAUUUACAGUAUCAUUUAUCAGGUGGUCCCGCAUCCAAAUAAAAUGUCACAAUUUUUUUAUACAUGUGUGAGAGUCUAGAUAGAAAUAGUAGGAACUACAUGCUGGGUUCGGAUCACAUGAAACAUAUUUUAUUUAGACUGAUGUUGUAGUAGGUCCCACGUGUAGAUGGAGGAGGGGUGAGUGACUCACCAACAACUCAAAUCUUUAAUAGUAGGAAAGAUUAUAGCACAUCCCAAAGAAAAAACAUCAAAACCAUGCAUUUAGGGUUCAUUGUGUAUUCUACCUCUAGGACAUUGUCGUCGCCGUAGCGUGAGUGCCAAAUCUAGCCAUACCUUGUAUCCACUAGUUGGGAAGUCGCCAAGGCUAAGGACCGAUAGAACUAACACACCAAAGAAGAACUACCCGUCACCAUGAAAGGACCACCAACGAGCCAGCGCAUCCGCCACCUCAUGAACAUGACCUUCAUUGGUGUCACAACGAUGGUGAAGAGGAUGUUGGUCCAACGGAGGAGAAUGUUGGUGUAAUAGUGGUGGAGCCGGGAGAAAAUAAAUAUGGCGUUGACGACACCAACACUCGGACAAACUAGAUACCAGGCCCAAGAAGAGUGACGACAAGCCAUAAUCAUGGACUCCUCACCACUCUCGUCGAGGACGUUUUUCCCAAGGUAGGAACAAAGUCCAUGGAACCCUAUUCCACGGUUGGCACGUAACUAGCAUCGGACAAGCUAGAUACACGGGCCAAGAUGAGUAGACACAAACCAUUCUCAUGGUCUGCCCGUUGCAUCGUCACAGACAUUGUCACUAAGUUGGGAAUGGAGUUUGAGAAAACCUUAUUCCACCGGCAUCAUUGUCGUCACCUUAGAGUCGACGACAAAAUGGAAAACCAAAGAGGGGGUCAGAACACAAGAAUAGUCAUGGUGGCCAAACAAAAAAAUAGAACAAAGCAACCUGAUUUCAUUAGAAAAAUGACAACAUAGUUUUCAAAACUACACUAAUCUAAAACCAAACCCAAUAUCCCAGUGCUUGGGCAAUGGAUACUUUGGUUUUUAGAACCAAAACGUAUUCUCAACUGGUUUAGAAAAAAGAGAGGUAAGAUACCUCUUUUCCAAAUACUGCCAAAAGCACGAUAUAGAAGAUACUGUGGUUUAUAAAAUGAUGUAUUACCUCUGUUCAGGUUUAAAAGUCCCCUUGCAUUUUAGGUCAAACUUUGACCUUUGAUUUAACUACCAAAAUAUUAGUUAUAUGUCACAAAAUAGUAUCAUUAGAAACCUCCUUCGAAUAUAAAUCCAACAAUAUAGGUUUUGUGUCAUAAAACUGGCUUCUUGUUAGUUAAAACUACGAUCGGAAUUGGACACAAAAUACAAAAAGGACUAAUAAAUCUGAACAGAGGUAGUAUUCACUAAUGUCAACCAGAUUUCUAGCUGGCCUUUACUGGUUUUCUGAAGGAGAAGAAGGACGUAGUAUCACUUUUGAUGUAUUGGUGAUUCUCUCGCAGAUUUGUAGCUGGCCUUUACUGUUUAGAUAACCAUUGCUUUUGUCUUUUGAUUAGGUGCAUUGAUGUAUUUUUACAUCUCAACAGUACCACACUGGCAACCAGUUUGGCCUUCCGCGUCUAGAUGCAUAGACUGAGAGUGCAAUAAACUUCUCCUUUCAACAAUCAACAAGAAGGAAAAAUGUGUGGUCCGUACCACGUUAAUAAAUUGUCUUAUUUUUUGAGUAUCUGAUAAAGGCAUCUUCAAUGGUUGUUGGUAGAUUUUACAUUGACAGAUGGCUUCCAGUGGAAGGUACGCGUGGGUUUGAAUGUAGGAGCCCUCUGCUGUAAUUUUACUUUGACGGAUGACUACGAACUGGAUGAGCGUCGGGGCCUAAACCCGAGGCAGGCAGGAGAUACGAGAGACCGCGACAGGCCACGGGCGGUGGUCGCCUGAUCAGCGCCAGCCCAGGUAGUUUUCCGGGCCAACCUGCCAGCCACACAAUGGACGGGGAAGUGCUUGUACGGUCUCGGUGUUUGUUUGUUAAGGCCGAGGCCAUUUGGUUGGUCACCACGUGCAACACAUCCACGCUAGUAUCUGCUCACCUCAACAAACAAAAAAAAUCCACUAUCGGCAGCAGCAAGUCCUGUCGGCGAGAAAGACAGUGAUUCCGGGACUGUGCACCACCUAAGAGCAUGGUUAAUAGUAUAGCCAACUGUGGCUAUAAGCAGUUUAUAACCCAUCUCAUCUUAUAGCUAGCUUGUACAAUAC
rnacentral:lncRNA from 1 species